GUAAAUUUUUUAAAAAAAUUUGUGCAGUGACAAGCUGUGACUGUUAUGUUGCGACCAUUAUAGGCCCCUUUCCAUUACUUGCGACCGUGACCGCGAACGCUGCUGCAAUCGCGAUUUGAAGCCAUGCAAAGAAGAUUACCUAUCUAAUUUCUGUUGUAGGUUCCAGCGUAAAUAAUUAAAAUCCUCAAGGCUAGGCAUAAUAAAUAAGUUAUAGAAAGUGGAAAAGAGGACAGGGACAUAUUUAAGUCUUACAUUAUAUUUCUAAAAUUGGCCAUUAAAAGCUCAUUGAAGUAACCUUUAUAAACUACUAAACCCGUGAAUACAAUAGGGCUGCAGGUUUUCUUUAAAACCUUGCUUACUCAUACCAUCACAAAAAUGCAAAAUGAAAUAGGCUCAACCUCUCUUCAAAACCCAUUAUAAUUUUCAUAUAAAACCCAAAAAUGAGCAGAGGACAAUGAAAAUGUAUCUUCUUUACACUCCUUUUUGCAUUUUCAAUUUGCUCUUUGGUUCAUGCUACUUUUGCCAUUUUGGUUAUGUUGUAGUAUUGUACUAGGUAUUUGGUAAUGCAUGGGUUACAUGUGUUUUAUUUCAUUAUAAAUUUAGGGAAUCGUAUUCCUCGAGUACCAUGCAAG
rnacentral:misc_RNA from 1 species